CCUACGGGCGGCAGCAGUGGGGAAUAUUGCGCAAUGGGCGAAAGCCUGACGCAGCGACGCCGCGUGAGGGAUGAAGGUCUUCGGAUCGUAAACCUCUGUCAGCAGGGAAGAACGGUCACUGUGCUAAUCAGCAGUGAAUUGACGGUACCUGCAAAGGAAGCACCGGCUAACUCCGUGCCAGCAGCCGCGGUAAUACGGAGGGUGCGAGCGUUAAUCGGAAUUACUGGGCGUAAAGCGCUCGUAGGCGGUAUGUCAAGUCAGGGGUGAAAUCCCCGGGCUCAACGUGGGAACUGCCUUUGAAACUGGCAAACUGGAGUGUGUGAGAGGAUAGUGGAAUUCCAGGUGUAGGGGUGAAAUGCGUAGAUAUCUGGAGGAACAUCAGUGGCGAAGGCGACUAUCUGGCACAUAACUGACGCUGAGGAGCGAAAGCGUGGGUAGCAAACAGGAUUAGAUACCCCUGUAGUC
rnacentral:rRNA from 1 species